UACGUAGGGGGCGAGCGUUGUCCGGAUUCAUUGGGCGUAAAGAGCUCGUAGGCGGUUCGCUAAGUCAGGUGUGAAAUCUCCACGCUCAACGUGGAGGGGCCACCUGAUACUGGCGUGACUCGAGUCCGGUAGGGGAGUGUGGAAUUCCCGGUGUAGCGGUGAAAUGCGCAGAUAUCGGGAGGAACACCAGUGGCGAAGGCGGCACUCUGGGCCGGAACUGACGCUGAGGAGCGAAGGUCAGGGGAGCAAACGGG
rnacentral:rRNA from 1 species